GAAGAUUUAAAAGACGAGAAGAAGAACACCCGAUCUAUGAAGAGAUUCAAGAUGGAGGACUGCAACUUAAAAAGCGUGAAUCAAACCAAAAUGAUCCCACAUAUCACACCAUCCCUGAUCUUCCACCAAUGGGAAACAAGAC